rnacentral:rRNA from 1 species
GAUGAACGCUGGCGGCGUGCCUAAUACAUGCAAGUCGAGCGAACGGACGAGAAGCUUGCUUCUCUGAUGUUAGCGGCGGACGGGUGAGUAACACGUGGAUAACCUACCUAUAAGACUGGGAUAACUUCGGGAAACCGGAGCUAAUACCGGAUAAUAUUUUGAACCGCAUGGUUCAAAAGUGAAAGACGGUCUUGCUGUCACUUAUAGAUGGAUCCGCGCUUCAUUCGCUAGUUGGUAAGGUAACGGCUUACCAAGGCAACGAUGCAUAGCCGACCUGAGAGGGUGAUCGGCCACACUGUAACUGAGACACGGUCCAGACUCCUACGGGAGGCAGCAGUAGGGAAUCUUCCGCAAUGGGCGAAAGCCUGACGUAGCAACGCCGCGUGAGUGAUGAAGGUCUUCGGAUCGUAAAACGCUGUUAUUAGUGAAGAACAUAUGUGUAAGUAACUGUGCACAUCUUGACGGUACCUAAUCAGAAAGCCACGGCUAACUACGUG